rnacentral:misc_RNA from 1 species
AAGUCGUAACAAGGUUUCCGUAGGUGAACCUGCGGAAGGAUCAUUAACGAGUUAGGGUCUUCUAGGCCCGACCUCCCAACCCUAUGUUUAUUGAACCUCUGUUGCUUCGGCGGACCCGCCUCACGGCCGCCGGAGGACCGCUGCGAGGCGUCCUCUGGCCAGCGCCCGCCGAUGGCCAACCACUUAAACUCUGAAUGAAUCGUGUCAUAUGUCUAAGUCUAUGAUUAAAUUAAAGCAAAACUUUCAACAACGGAUCUCUUGGUUCUG